CAUGUGGGAGCUACACAUGCAGUCGAGCGGUAGCACAGAGAGCUUGCUCUCGGGUGACGAGCGGCGGACGGGUGAGUAAUGUCUGGGAAACUGCCUGAUGGAGGGGGAUAACUACUGGAAACGGUAGCUAAUACCGCAUAACGUCGCAAGACCAAAGUGGGGGACCUUCGGGCCUCAUGCCAUCAGAUGUGCCCAGAUGGGAUUAGCUAGUAGGUGGGGUAACGGCUCACCUAGGCGACGAUCCCUAGCUGGUCUGAGAGGAUGACCAGCCACACUGGAACUGAGACACGGUCCAGACUCCUACGGGAGGCAGCAGUGGGGAAUAUUGCACAAUGGGCGCAAGCCUGAUGCAGCCAUGCCGCGUGUAUGAAGAAGGCCUUCGGGUUGUAAAGUACUUUCAGCGGGGAGGAAGGCGAUAAGGUUAAUAACCUUGUCGAUUGACGUUACCCGCAGAAGAAGCACCGGCUAACUCCGUGCCAGCAGCCGCGGUAAUACGGAGGGUGCAAGCGUUAAUCGGAAUUACUGGGCGUAAAGCGCACGCAGGCGGUCUGUCAAGUCGGAUGUGAAAUCCCCGGGCUCAACCUGGGAACUGCAUUCGAAACUGGCAGGCUAGAGUCUUGUAGAGGGGGGUAGAAUUCCAGGUGUAGCGGUGAAAUGCGUAGAGAUCUGGAGGAAUACCGGUGGCGAAGGCGGCCCCCUGGACAAAGACUGACGCUCAGGUGCGAAAGCGUGGGGAGCAAACAGGAUUAGAUACCCUGGUAGUCCACGCCGUAAACGAUGUCGAUUUGGAGGUUGUGCCCUUGAGGCGUGGCUUCCGGAGCUAACGCGUUAAAUCGACCGCCUGGGGAGUACGGCCGCAAGGUUAAAACUCAAAUGAAUUGACGGGGGCCCGCACAAGCGGUGGAGCAUGUGGUUUAAUUCGAUGCAACGCGAAGAACCUUACCUGGUCUUGACAUCCACAGAACUUGCCAGAGAUGCCUUGGUGCCUUCGGGAACUGUGAGACAGGUGCUGCAUGGCUGUCGUCAGCUCGUGUUGUGAAAUGUUUGGGUUAAGUCCCGCACGAGCGCACCCUUAUCCUUUGUUGCCAGCGGGUUCGGCCGGGAACUCAAAGGAGACUGCCAGUGAUAAAACUGGAG
rnacentral:rRNA from 1 species